rnacentral:rRNA from 1 species
CUGGCGGCUGCGCAGGCCUAACACAUGCAAGUCGAGCGGAUGACGGGAGCUUGCUCCUUGAUUCAGCGGCGGACGGGUGAGUAAUGCCUAGGAAUCUGCCUGGUAGUGGGGGACAACGUUUCGAAAGGAACGCUAAUACCGCAUACGUCCUACGGGAGAAAGCAGGGGACCUUCGGGCCUUGCGCUAUCAGAUGAGCCUAGGUCGGAUUAGCUAGUUGGUGGGGUAAUGGCUCACCAAGGCGACGAUCCGUAACUGGUCUGAGAGGAUGAUCAGUCACACUGGAACUGAGACACGGUCCAGACUCCUACGGGAGGCAGCAGUGGGGAAUAUUGGACAAUGGGCGAAAGCCUGAUCCAGCCAUGCCGCGUGUGUGAAGAAGGUCUUCGGAUUGUAAAGCACUUUAAGUUGGGAGGAAGGGCAGUAAGCUAAUACCUUGCUGUUUUGACGUUACCGACAGAAUAAGCACCGGCUAACUCUGUGCCAGCAGCCGCGG